AGCACUCUAGGUGACAAGACAGUCUGAGCUCAGCUAAGCCUUCUAAUAAUCCCAGUUCCGGGACCAGAUAUCAACAAUUAAGGCACCAUGGAGUUGGAUCCUUUAGUCACAGUUAUUAGAACUCUCAGCUUUUUGAGUCUUCUGUUCCCAUUCAAGUCUUCCCAAUGGAGACCCCAGAUCCCUUGGAAUAUAAGUCAUCCCCACUGUGCUGUUUGAAUGACCCACCCCCAGAAUCGCUCUUUCUAGAUUGAUGACAAUAAGUAUUCCAUGCCUUGGGGAAGAAACUGGAAUUUCAAGCUGUACUUUGGAAGACAUCUUCUUCAGCUGGGUCCAAGUUUCAUUCCACUCUGAUCUGCUCCCUCACUCAAAGGGGAGUAGUAAUUCCAUCUUUGUCUAUCAAACUGGCCAAUGAGAUGGGGGUCACACGACAAUUGCUAUACGACCACCACUAUUGAUGCUGAUUUUCCAUGACUGACAGCAACCGAAUAAAAUUCUCUGGUCUUGAUAUGAGCCAGGAUGCUACCCUGUCACCCGCAGGAAAACCUGAGCCGAUACAAAUCGCUUCAGCAUCUGGAAAACCAAGGAGAAGUUCCCUCCAGAUA